AUCUCAUUCUAGGUAUUUAGACCUGGUCUAAUUUUUGCCACACCAUACAUAUCAAAUCUUUACAAUUAUCUCUGUUAUUUUUAAACAACUCAAAUGUGAUAUUUUAAAAAUUGAAUUGCACUUAUCACCAUCUCUAGGAAUUGCAGCUUGUUUUUCAUCUUUUCACACCUCAUAUAGUUAUAUUUGAUUGUGUAUUUUACACAUGACUUGUGUGGGAUUACUUAUUCAAAAAUAUAAUUUUCUCU
rnacentral:lncRNA from 1 species